UGCCGCUAUGGCACUAUGGCACUAUGGCCCUAUGGCGCUAAGGUGUAAACUUCAAUGUUUGUUUAAUUAAUUCAAGGCUGCUGCCUGACGGGCGCCCGGUCGCCUGACGCACCUAAGUUACGAGUGCGGGCGACUUAAGUUUUGUUCAAGGAGCCCAAGUGGGCGCCAAAACAUGGGGUUUUCAUUCCAAUGUAAUGUGUCCGAUGACUUCAACCUUCUCAUGAAAUCGUUCAAAAAAUAAUUCACACAAUAAAUUAAACAGAAAACAACAGCUACACUGGUCCUGUUUUGCUUUUAUCACGAGAAAUCUGGGCCAAAACACGGCAACAAGGUCUCUCCGUUCACAAAACAGCCGAAAACAGCCAUAUUUGAAAAUCGCCUUAUAGUGCAUUGCAAGCUCAGUAUUGAAUAAAGGUACAUUAUGUUUGCCAAUGGAUUGUGUCUCUGUUGAUGCCUUACUGAUUCCAAGUUGCAAAAUAACUACUUUGAUAGCAAGUAUUAAUUUUUUGGAAUUGGAGUGAUGAUCCUACUGACAUUAUAUUUACAGUUGAAAAAAGAUAAAUGUGUCUAAAUAUUUGUCCGAUACUUAAGAAAACUUCACUUAGAUGUACUGAAUGAAUUUCUUUAGGUUCUGAAAGGAUAAUUCGAGUAACUAGCCAGCA